rnacentral:rRNA from 1 species
UUAGGAAUCUUGGGCAAUGGGCGAAAGCCUGACCCAGCAACGCCGCGUGGGUGACGAAGGCCUUCGGGUCGUAAAGCCCUUUUGCACGGGAAGAUGAUGACGGUACCGUGCGAAUAAGCCCCGGCUAACUACGUGCCAGCAGCCGCGGUAAUACGUAGGGGGCGAGCGUUGUCCGGAUUUAUUGGGCGUAAAAGGCUUGUAGGUGGCCACGCCAAGUCGGAUGUGAAAUCUCCCGGCUCAACUGGGAGGGGUCAUUCGAUACUGGCGGGCUCGAGGCCGGUAGGGGGAAGCGGAAUUCCCGGUGUAGUGGUGGAAUGCGUAGAUAUCGGGAGGAACACCAGUGGCGAAGGCGGCUUCCUGGACCGGUUCUGACACUGAGGAGCGAAAGCGUGGGGAGCGAUCCGGAUUAGAUACCCGCGUAGUCC